rnacentral:sRNA from 1 species
GCUGGGCACGGUAGCUCAUGCCUGUCAUCCCAGCAGCUCAGGAGGCUGAGACAAGAGGAUCGCUAGCUCAAAGCCAGCCUCAGCAACUUUGCAAGGUCCUAAGCAACUCAGAGAGACCCUGUCUCUA